rnacentral:rRNA from 1 species
GUCUAUGGCCAUGUCACCCUGAACAAGCCAGAUCCCAUCUGAUCUCAGAAGCUAAGCAGGGUGAAGCCUGGUUAGUACUUGGAUGGGAGACUACCUAGGAAGACCAGGUGCUGCAGUGC